rnacentral:rRNA from 1 species
AGAGUUUGAUCCUGGCUCAGGAUGAACGCUGGCGGCAUGUCUAAGGCAUGCAAGUCGAUUGAUUUGUUAGUAGCUUCGGUUACUAACGGGACAAGGCAAACGGGUGCGUAACACAUUGGUAAUCUACCUCCGACACGGGCAUAAUUAGCCGAAAGGCUGAAUAAUACCCGAUGGUCUCUUCAGUACUCAGGUACUGUUGAGUAAAGCUCAGGCAGUCGGAGAGGAGCCUAUGGCCUAUCAGCUAGUUGGUAGUGUAAAAGACUACCAAGGCUACGACGGGUAGCGGGUGUGAGAGCACGACCCGCCUCACUGGGACUGAGACACGGCCCAGACACCUACGGGUGGCUGCAGUCAAGAAUCUUCCGCAAUGGCCGCAAGGCUGACGGAGCAAUGCCGCGUGCAGAAUGAACCCCUUCGGGGUGUAAACUGCUUUUUUUCGGGAAGAAUCCGUGACGGUACCGAAAGAAUAAGCCACUGCUAAUCUCGUGCCAGCAGCAGCGGUAAUACGAGAGUGGCAAGCGUUAUCCGGAAUAACUGGGUGUAAAGCGUCUCUAGGCGGCUUUAUCAGUUCUUGGUUAAAUCUUCGGGCUCAACCCGAAGGCUGCCAGGAAUACCAUAAGCUAGAGAAUGGAAGAGGUAAGCGGAAUUGCCGGUGUAGUAGUAAAAUGCGUUAAUAUCGGCAAGAACACCAAAAGCGAAGGCAGCUUACUAGGACAUUUCUGACGCUCACAGACGAAAGCGUGGGGAGCGAAUGGGAUUAGAUACCCCAGUAGUCCACGCCCUAAACGAUGGGUACUAAGCAUUGGGAGUUUCGACCCUCCCAGUGCUGGUUAUCGAAGCUAACGCCUUAAGUACCCCACCUGGGAAGU